CCUAAUACGUUACUGUUUUGACGUUACCGACAGAAUAAGCACCGGCUAACUCUGUGCCAGCAGCCGCGGUAAUACAUAGGGUGCAAGCGUUAAUCGGAAUUACUGGGCGUAAAGCGCGCGUAGGUGGUUUGUUAAGUCGGAUGUGAAAUCCCCGGGCUCAACCUGGGAACUGCAUUCAAAACUGGCUGACUAGAGUGUGGUAGAGGGU
rnacentral:rRNA from 1 species